rnacentral:misc_RNA from 1 species
GGGCUCACUUCUUUGCAAUUCAAUUACAUCUUGGUCGGUUUCUGGGGCUUCAUCUUGGAUAACUCCUUGAGUUAUGUCCACAGUUUCUUCCUCCACUUGAUCAAUUUUUCUGCUACAAACAUGAACUUCUGAGUUCAGUUUGCUUGCUCAAGUGCACACUUGAAGGUGAAAAUGCAUCAAGUAGGAAUGCCCAUAACUCUGCUUGAACCC